rnacentral:rRNA from 1 species
UACAGAGGGGGCAAGCGUUGUUCGGAAUUACUGGGCGUAAAGGGCGCGUAGGCGGCCCGCUAAGUCAGACGUGAAAUCCCUCGGCUUAACCGGGGAACUGCGUCUGAUACUGGAUGGCUUGAGUUCGGGAGAGGGAUGCGGAAUUCCAGGUGUAGCGGUGAAAUGCGUAGAUAUCUGGAGGAACACCGGUGGCGAAGGCGGCAUCCUGGACCGACACUGACACUGAGGAGCGAAAGCCAGGGGAGCAAUCGGG